CCCCUAGAUGUUCUGGGCCGCACGCGCGCUACACUGAACAGUUCAACAAGUCUUAACCUUGGCCGAUAGGUCUGGGUAAUCUUUGAACGCUGUUCGUGAUUGGGAUAGACCUUUGCAAUUAUGGGUCUUCACCGAGGAAUUCCUAGUAAACGCAAGUCAUCAGCUUGCAUUGAUUACGUCCCUGCCCUUUGUACACACCGCCCGUCGCACCUACCGAUUGAAUGGUCCGGUGAAAUCUCGGGACGGCGGCUUGGUCGCUUGCGUCCGACUGCUGAAACUUGAUUAAACCAUAUCAUUUAGAGGAAGGUGAAGUCGUAACA
rnacentral:rRNA from 1 species